rnacentral:rRNA from 1 species
GAGUUUGAUCAUGGCUCAGGACGAACGCUGGCGGCGUGCCUAACACAUGCAAGUCGAGCGAUGAAACCCCUUCGGGGGUGGAUUAGCGGCGGACGGGUGAGUAACACGUGGGUAACCUGCCUCAAAGUGGGGGAUAGCCUUCCGAAAGGAAGAUUAAUACCGCAUAAAGCCAAGUUUCACAUGGAAUUUGGAUGAAAGGAGUAAUUCGCUUUGAGAUGGACCCGCGGCGCAUUAGUUAGUUGGUGGGGUAAUGGCCUACCAAGACAGCGAUGCGUAGCCGACCUGAGAGGGUGAUCGGCCACAUUGGAACUGAGAUACGGUCCAGACUCCUACGGGAGGCAGCAGUGGGGAAUAUUGCACAAUGGGCGAAAGCCUGAUGCAGCAACGCCGCGUGAGUGAUGAAGGUCUUCGGAUUGUAAAGCUCUGUCUUUUGGGACGAUAAUGACGGUACCAAAGGAGGAAG